rnacentral:rRNA from 1 species
CCUACGGGAGGCAGCAGUGAGGAAUAUUGGUCAAUGGACGAGAGUCUGAACCAGCCAAGUCGCGUGAGGGAUGACGGCACUCUGUAUUGUAAACUUCUUUUGUAUGGGAAUAAAAUGUGGGACGUGUCGGAGGAUGUAUGUACCAGUAGAAUAAGGAUCGGCUAACUCCGUGCCAGCAGCCGGGGUAAUACGGAGGAUCCGAGAGUUAUCCGGAUUUAGUGGGGUUAAAGGGAGCGUAGGGGGAUUUUUAAGUGAGUUGUGAAAGUUUGGGGCUCAACCGCGGAAUUGCAGUUGAAACUGGCAGUCUAGAGUUGAGGAGAGGUAGGCGGAAUUCGUGGUGUAGCGGUGAAAUGCGUAGAUAUCACGAAGAACUCCGAUUGCGAAGGCAGCUCACUGGACUGCAACUGACGCUGAGGCUCGAAAGCGUGGGUAUCAAACAGGAUUAGAUACCCUGGUAGUC